rnacentral:lncRNA from 1 species
UCACCUUCGUCGUAAAAAUCUAUCGGUUUUACCUUAAGGCCGAACAUGGAAGUCUCGUCGGCGGACAUCUUCAUGUACCAUUCAUGGAAUUCGUACAUCUUUGGUAAUAGGCUCCCUACCAACUCAGGUCUUACCAGAGACUUUCCUAGCUCGAACGUCCAUCUCGGUUGAAAUGACUGUGAAGCUACUGGCUCGUGACCACCUAGCUCUAUACAUUGAUCAAGUCCCA